rnacentral:rRNA from 1 species
AGCAGCCGCGGUAAUUCCAGCUCCAAUAGCGUAUAUUAAAGUUGUUGCAGUUAAAAAGCUCGUAGUUGAAUUUCGAGAUCGGUUUAUUGGUCGUGCUAUUGUACGUACUGGUAUUACCGGUUUCUCCUUUCUUACGAACCUUAAUGCCAUUAAUUUGGUGUUUUGGGAAAUCAGGACUGUUACUUUGAAAAAAUUAGAGUGUUUAAAGCAGGCUCACGCUUGAAUACAUUAGCAUGGAAUAACGGAAUAGGACGUUUGAUUCUAUUUUGUUGGUUUCUAGGAUCGACGUAAUGAUUAAUAGGGAUAGUUGGGGGCAUUAGUAUUCAAUUGUCAGAGGUGAAAUUCUUGGAUUUAUUGAAGACUAACUACUGCGAAAGCAUUUGCCAAGGAUGUUUUCAUUAAUCAAGAACGAAAGUUAGGGGAUCGAAGACGAUCAGAUGCCGUCGUAGUCUUAACCAUAAACUAUGCCGACUAGGGAUCGGAUGAUGUUAAUUUUUAAUGACUCAUUCGGCGCCUUACG